AGACAGAAAAUGACAUAAAUCUUAAACAACGAGACUAAACACUAGAUAAGAUCAGAUUUGUAUUGCCCUCACGUAUGGUAAAAUAAUAAAAAUUAAUGUUGUAACGGGGAGACAAUUUGUUCUUCAUUUUUGCAGUACUGAGUUAAACAAAGGAAACCUGUGGUAACUUGCUUCCAUCAAGACUCUAGCUUCUUAUUUGGCUCUUCAAACUUAUCUGUUGAAGUCCGAUGUUCAACCAUGCCUCCAGCAGCUCUCGCGGUGUAGAAAUACACGAUAAAAUGAAAUGAUGUCCUGCCACCAGCUAGCAGCCACGAGAUUGUUGGUCUUAGGAGCAAGACUGCUAACUAUAUCCUAAAUGCUGAGGCAUAUCACUGGAGAUAACUCAAUGCCAGAAAAGAGCAAGUCCAAUGAAGUUUUUGUUACAACAAUGCUGUGGCAGUUGUAUACUUAUUGAAGUUCCUAAAGAUCGGAUAUUAAUCAGAUCCAAAAGGAGAAGGAGGAGACAAGAUAAAUUUGCUGAUUAUGUAAUCGUUCAAAAAAUAUUAAAUUGAAACAUGAAACAUACAUAUAUUCAUGACAUGCCUGCAGUUUUGGAAGAUCCACCUAAGAAAAUGAUCAGAUCGAGUUCCUCAAAGCAGGGCUGAAACUCCUGGUUCUGCUAAGAACAUUCACAUAACAAUAUUAAAAACUGGAUUUCAUCAAAAUAUUUUAUGUCAAAUUAAAAAAAAGGAAGAUAUUGAUUUAUAUGUUUCCAAUGCCAGACCAAAUAAACAUUUUCCCCCUGAAAGAAAGUUCAGUUGAUCAAACACCACAAAAACUUUCAUUUAACUUGAUGAUCAGAUCGAAGAUUUGAUGGUCUUCCCACCAUUACAAAAAAUUGUCGCCAUUUACAGGCUACAAAAAGCUGCAAUAGGAAGCAUUUCGUUAAUUCACAGUUAAUAAUAAAAACAGCAAAUAGUUAUUUAAAUUAGUAUCUCUAUCAGUUAAUCAAUAUAUAACUACUAUCUUUACGAAGUAAGUCAAUCACAUACGAUUAAAAGUCAUUUCACUUCUCUUGUCCAUGUCAUUACUUACUAAUAUUACAACAUAGCGGCAACUACGAGUGCAUAAUAUUUAUACUUACUUUAGUGAUGCAAUAGGCUUUCCCGAAAUUUAAGUUUAGUUAGCCUAUUUUUCAGCAACAGCUUUAGCUUUUUGCCCCCUGUUGAGCGCUAAUUUUUUGUUUUAGUUUGAACCAUAGAACAGAGAAGAUUGAAAUUGAGUCUUCACUCUCCAAAACGAAUGCAGCUAUCUAGCCACAGCAGAGCAAACGUUAAACACUUAGAUUUGAUAAAUUUAAUUUCUAACAUAGCAACGUUAGAAAUUUAGAUUUGAUCAAUUUAAGCUGCUUGGCAAACAAGAAAAUGAAGGAAAACAGAGGAAACUGAAACAGAGCAUCUUAGAACUUCCAUUGAUUUCGAGUGAAAAAAAACUAUAAUAAUUACAAUAAUUAAUGCUAAUCCGCACAGUCUAGAAAUAUCUU
rnacentral:lncRNA from 1 species